AUUGAACGCUGGCGGCAGGCUUAACACAUGCAAGUCGAGCGAGCGGCGGACGGGUGAGUACUGUCUGGGACACGUCCUGCUGGAGGGGGCUCACUACUGGCAACUGUAGCUAAUACCGCAUACCAUCAGCUGUGCCCAGAUGGGAUUUGCUAGUAGGUGGGGUAAUGGCUCACCUAGGCGACUAUCCCUAGCUGGUCUGAGAGGAGGACCAGCCACACGGGAACUUGAAAACGGUCCAGAUUCCUACGGGAGGAGGAAGUGGGGAAUAUUGCACAAUGGGCGAAAGCCUGCUGCAGCAAUGCCGCGGGUGGGAGGAAGUCUUUCGGGUGGUAAAGCACGUUCAGCGAGGAGACGUUACUCGCAGAAGAAGCAACGGCUAACUCCGUGCCAGCAGCCGCGGUAAUUC
rnacentral:rRNA from 1 species